rnacentral:rRNA from 1 species
UCGAGGAUCUUCGGCAAUGGGCGCAAGCCUGACCGAGCGACGCCGCGUGCGCGAUGAAGGCCUUCGGGUUGUAAAGCGCUGUCGAGGGGGAGGAAACCCCGCAAGGGGCUGACCUAUCCCUGGAGGAAGCACGGGCUAAGUUCGUGCCAGCAGCCGCGGUAAGACGAACCGUGCGAACGUUGUUCGGAAUCACUGGGCUUAAAGGGCGCGUAGGCGGGCGCACAAGUCAGGGGUGAAAGCCCCCGGCUCAACCGGGGGACAGCUUCUGAUACUGUGUGUCUUGAGGGGGGUAGGGGCGCGUGGAACUUCCGGUGGAGCGGUGAAAUGCGUAGAUAUCGGAAGGAACGCCGGUGGCGAAAGCGACGCGCUGGGCCCUUUCUGACGCUGAGGCGCGAAAGCCAGGGGAGCAAACGGGAUUAGAUACCCCCGUAGUCC